AGCAGCCGCGGUAAUUCCAGCUCCAAUAACGUAUAUUAAAGUUGUUGCAGUUAAAAAGCUCGUAGUUGAAUUUCGGGGUUAGUAGGUUGGUCAUGCCUCUGGUAUGUACUGGUCUCACUGAUUCCUCCUUCCUGAUGAGCCGUAAUGCCAUUAAUUUGGUGUUGCGGGGAAUUUGGACUGUUACUUUGAAAAAAUUAGAGUGUUUAAAGCAAGCUAACGCUUGAAUACAUUAGCAUGGAAUAAUGAAAUAGGACGUUCGAUCCUAUUUUGUUGGUUUCUAGGAUUGACGUAAUGAUUAAUAGGGAUAGUUGGGGGCAUUAGUAUUCAAUUGUCAGAGGUGAAAUUCUUGGAUUUAUUGAAGACUAACUACUGCGAAAGCAUUUGCCAAGGAUGUUUUCAUUAAUCAAGAACGAAAGUUAGGGGAUCGAAGACGAUCAGAUACCGUCGUAGUCUUAACCAUAAACUAUGCCGACUAGGGAUCGGAUGAUG
rnacentral:misc_RNA from 1 species